rnacentral:rRNA from 1 species
CCAAUAGCGUAUAUUAAAGUUGUUGCAGUUAAAAAGCUCGUAGUUGAAUUUCGGGGUUCAUCCGUUGGUCGGGCUCUUUGGUCUGUACUGGCGUGAUGGAUUCCUACCUUCUGAAUAACCGGCAUGCCAUUAAUUUGGUGCGCCGGGGAAGCAGGACUGUUACCUUGAAAAAAUUAGCGUGCUUAAAGCAGGCUAUCGCCUGAAUACAUUAGCAUGGAAUAAUGAAAUAGGAAGCAUGGUUCUAUUUUGUUGGUUUCUAGGAUCACCGUAAUGAUUAAUAGGGAUAGUUGGGGGCAUUAGUAUUCAAUUGUCAGAGGUGAAAUUCUUGGAUUUAUUGAAGACUAACUUCUGCGAAAGCAUUUGCCAAGGAUGUUUUCAUUAAUCAAGAACGAAAGUUAGGGGAUCGAAGACGAUCAGAUACCGUCGUAGUCUUAACCAUAAACUAUGCCGACUAGGGAUCGGACGAAGUUAAUUUUUUAAUGACUCGUUCGGCGCCUUACG